rnacentral:rRNA from 1 species
UACGUAGGGGGCAAGCGUUGUCCGGAAUCAUUGGGCGUAAAGAGCGUGUAGGCGGCCCGGUAAGUCCGCUGUGAAAGUCGAGGGCUCAACCCUCGAAUGCCGGCGGAUACUGUCGGGCUAGAGUCCGGAAGAGGAGAGUGGAAUUCCUGGUGUAGCGGUGAAAUGCGCAGAUAUCAGGAAGAACACCCGUGGCGAAGGCGGCUCUCUGGGACGGUACUGACGCUGAGACGCGAAAGCGUGGGGAGCGAACAGG